AAAGCUCAAAUUUGAAAUCUGGCGGUUCUUUGCAGCCGUCCGAGUUGUAGUUUAGAGAAGUGCUAUCCGCGCUAGACUGUGCAAAAGUUUCUUGGAAAAGAACAUCAUAGAGGGUGACAAUCCCGUCCUUGGCACAGAUUCUAGGGCUUUUGUGAUGCGCUCUCGACGAGUCGAGUUGUUUGGGAAUGCAGCUCUAAAUGGGUGGUAAAUUCCAUCUAAAGCUAAAUAUUGGCGAGAAACCGAUAGCGAA
rnacentral:rRNA from 1 species